rnacentral:rRNA from 1 species
AUUGAACGCUGGCGGCAUGCUUUACACAUGCAAGUCGAACGGUAACAGGCCGCAAGGUGCUGACGAGUGGCGAACGGGUGAGUAAUGCAUCGGAACGUGCCCAGUCGUGGGGGAUAACUACUCGAAAGAGUAGCUAAUACCGCAUACGAUCUAUGGAUGAAAGCGGGGGACCGUAAGGCCUCGCGCGAUUGGAGCGGCCGAUGUCAGAUUAGGUAGUUGGUGGGGUAAAGGCUCACCAAGCCAACGAUCUGUAGCUGGUCUGAGAGGACGGCCAGCCACACUGGGACUGAGACACGGCCCAGACUCCUACGGGAGGCAGCAGUGGGGAAUUUUGGACAGUGGGCGCAAGCCUGAUCCAGCAAUGCCGCGUGCAGGAAGAAGGCCUUCGGGUUGUAAACUGCUUUUGUACGGAACGAAACGGCUCUGGUUAAUACCCGGGGCUAAUGACGGUACCGUAAGAAUAAGCACCGGCUAACUACGUG